CAGCCGCCGCGGGAAUACAGAGGGUGCGAGCGUUAAUCGGAUUUACUGGGCGUAAAGCGUGCGUAGGCGGCUAAUUGAGUCGGAUGUGAAAUCCCCGAGCUUAACUUGGGAAUUGCAUUCGAUACUGGUUAGCUAGAGUGUGGGAGAGGAUGGUAGUAUUCCAGGUGUAGCGGUGAAAUGCGUAGAGAUCUGGAGGAAUACCGAUGGCGAAGGCAGCCAUCUGGCCUAACACUGACGCUGAGGUACGAAAGCAUGGGGAGCAAACAGGAUUAGAUACCCCAGUAGUCCCUGUCUCUUAUAC
rnacentral:rRNA from 1 species